rnacentral:lncRNA from 1 species
GGCAACCUGUUAGGGUCUGCUUUUGUCCUCUGGGAGCUUUCCUUGUUUGGUUUUCGUAGUAAAUCUUACUGCUGCUCAGUGUUUGUGUCUGUGCUGCGUUUGUGAGCUGCAACGCUCACGGUAAAGGUCUACAGCUUCACUCCCGAAGCCAGCGAGACUGUAAAUCCACUGGGAGGGGCAAAGAACUCUGGACGUGCUGCAUUUUUAGGAGCUGUGACACUCACCGCGGAGGUUUGCAGUUUCACUCCUGAAAUCAGUGUAGACCACGAACGCACCAGAAGGAACAAACUCCAGACACACCGUUUUUAGGUAACCGUAACAUGUACCGCGAGGGUCUGCGGCUUCAUUCUUGAAGACGAGACUAAGAACCCACCAACUUCUGGACACAAAACCACCCCAAAAAGUGAGUUUCUAAAGGAGAAGCUAAAAAUAAAGACCACGAAAGUGUUGCCCAUGGUGAUAGCUCCAGACGUCCGGAGACGGUGUUCAGCGCUGCUGCAGGAGAGCACUGUGAUACGUAGUUGUCCUGUGGCAAACGGUGCCCUCCAAACACAUGUCCGCCC